ACUCAAAUGAAUUGACGGGGACCCACACAAGCGGUGGAACAUGGGGUUUAAUUCGAUGGUAAACGAAGAACCUCACCCAGGCUUGACAUCUCGGGAAGCCGGCCGAAAGGUCGGCGUGCCGCAAGGAACCCGAAGACAGGCGCUGCACGGUCGUCGUCAGCUCGUGCCUUGAGGUGUACUGUUAAGUCAGCGAACGAGCGCAACCCUCAUCUCAUGUUGUAUUUUCAUGAGAGACUGCCGCCUCCAAGGCGGAGGAAGGUGAGGAUGACGUCAGAUCAGCGUGGCCCUUAUGCCUGGGGCUACACCCAUGUUACAAUGGACGGUACAGAGGGUAGCGAAGCCGCAAGGCGUAGCAAAUCUCACCAAAACCGUUCUCAGUUCGGAUUGACGGCUGCAACCCGCCGUCAUGAAGUUGGAAUCGCUAGUAACCGUGGGUCAGCGAUACCACGGUGAAUAAGUUCCUGGGUCUUGUACACACCGCCCGU
rnacentral:rRNA from 1 species